AACUCUUAGUGGUGGAUCACUCGGCUCAUGUGUCGAUGAAGAACACAGCCAGCUUUGAGAAUUAAUGUGAAUUGCAGGACACAUUUAUCAUCGACACUUCAAACGCACUUGUAGCCCCUUGGUUCCUCCUGGGGCCACGCCUGUCUGAGCAUCA
rfam:Alligator mississippiensis ScZkoYb_526.1, whole genome shotgun sequence.